CUGAAUAGGGCGCAUAAGUAACAGGUCGUAGACCCGAAACCAGGUGAUCUACCCAUGUCCAGGAUGAAGGUAAGGUAAUACUUACUGGAGGUCCGAACCCACGCACGUUGAAAAGUGCGGGGAUGAGGUGUGGGUAGCGGAGAAAUUCCAAUCGAACUUGGAGAUAGCUGGUUCUCUCCGAAAUAGCUUUAGGGCUAGCCUCGAGGUAAAGAGUCAUGGAGGUAGAGCACUGUUUGGACUAGGGGCCCUUCUCGGGUUACCGAAUUCAGAUAAACUCCGAAUGCCAUGUACUUAUACUCGGGAGUCAGACUGCGAGUGAUAAGAUCCGUAGUCGAAAGGGAAACAGCCCAGACCACCAGUUAAGGUCCCCAAAUAUAUGUUAAGUGGAAAAGGAUGUGGGGUUGCUUAGACAACCAGGAUGUUGGCUUAGAAGCAGCCACCAUUGAAAGAGUGCGUAAUAGCUCACUGGUCGAGUGACCCCGCGCCGAAAAUGUACCGGGGCUAAACAUAUUACCGAAACUGUGGAUGAACCUCUUUAGAGGUUCGUGGUAGGAGAGCGUUCUAAGGGCGGUGAAGUCAGACCGGAAGGACUGGUGGAGCGCUUAGAAGUGAGAAUGCCGGUAUGAGUAGCGAAAGAAGGGUGAGAAUCCCUUCCACCGAAUAUCUAAGGUUUCCUGAGGAAGGCUCGUCCGCUCAGGGUUAGUCGGGACCUAAGCCGAGGCCGAUAGGCGUAGGCGAUGGACAACAGGUAGAGAUUCCUGUACCAGUGCUAAUUGUUUAACCGAUGGGGUGACACAGAAGGAUAGGGAAUCGCACGAAUGGAAAUGUGCGUCCAAGCAGUGAGUGUGAGAAGUAGGCAAAUCCGCUUCUCGCGAAGCAUGAGCUGUGAUGGGGAAGGAAAUUAAGUACGGAAGUUCCUGAUUUCACGCUGUCAAGAAAAGCCUCUAGGAAGAGUAGUACUGCCCGUACCGCAAACCGACACAGGUAGAUGAGGAGAGAAUCCUAAGGUGAGCGAGAGAACUCUCGUUAAGGAACUCGGCAAAAUGACCCCGUAACUUCGGGAGAAGGGGUGCUCUAUUAGGGUGCAAGCCCGAGAGAGCCGCAGUGAAUAGGCCCAGGCGACUGUUUAGCAAAAACACAGGUCUCUGCAAAACCGUAAGGUGACGUAUAGGGGCUGACGCCUGCCCGGUGCUGGAAGGUUAAGAGGAGUGCUUAGCUUCGGCGAAGGUACGAAUUGAAGCCCCAGUAAACGGCGGCCGUAACUAUAACGGUCCUAAGGUAGCGAAAUUCCUUGUCGGGUAAGUUCCGACCCGCACGAAAGGCGCAACGAUCUGGGCACUGUCUCAACGAGAGACUCGGUGAAAUUAUAGUACCUGUGAAGAUGCAGGUUACCCGCGACAGGACGGAAAGACCCCGUGGAGCUUUACUGCAACCUGAUAUGGAAUGUUUGUACCGCUUGUACAGGAUAGGUAGGAGCCGAAGAGACGUGUGCGCUAGCAUACGAGGAGGCAAUGGUGGGAUACUACCCUGGCUGUAUGACCAUUCUAACCCGCCACGCUUAGCGCGUGGGGAGACAGUGUCAGGUGGGCAGUUUGACUGGGGCGGUCGCCUCCUAAAGAGUAACGGAGGCGCCCAAAGGUUCCCUCAGAAUGGAUGGAAAUCAUUCGCAGAGUGUAAAGGCACAAGGGAGCUUGACUGCGAGACUGACAAGUCGAGCAGGGACGAAAGUCGGGCUUAGUGAUCCGGUGGUUCCGCAUGGAAGGGCCAUCGCUCAACGGAUAAAAGCUACCCCGGGGAUAACAGGCUUAUCUCCCCCAAGAGUCCACAUCGACGGGGAGGUUUGGCACCUCGAUGUCGGCUCGUCGCAUCCUGGGGCUGUAGUCGGUCCCAAGGGUUGGGCUGUUCGCCCAUUAAAGCGGCACGCGAGCUGGGUUCAGAACGUCGUGAGACAGUUCGGUCCCUAUCCGUCGCGGGCGCAGGAAAUUUGAGAGGAGCUGUCCUUAGUACGAGAGGACCGGGAUGGACACACCGCUGGUGUACCAGUUGUUCCGCCAGGAGCAUCGCUGGGUAGCUAUGUGUGGCAGGGAUAAACGCUGAAAGCAUCUAAGCGUGAAGCCCCCCUCAAGAUGAGAUUUCCCAUUUCUUCGGAAAGUAAGAUCCCUGAAAGAUGAUCAGGUAGAUAGGUUUGGAGUGGAAGUGUAGC
rnacentral:rRNA from 1 species